rnacentral:rRNA from 1 species
GAAGAACCUUACCUACUCUUGACAUCCAGAGAACUUAGCAGAGAUGCUUUGGUGCCUUCGGGAACUCUGAGACAGGUGCUGCAUGGCUGUCGUCAGCUCGUGUUGUGAAAUGUUGGGUUAAGUCCCGCAACGAGCGCAACCCUUAUCCUUUGUUGCCAGCGGUCCGGCCGGGAACUCAAAGGAGACUGCCAGUGAUAAACUGGAGGAAGGUGGGGAUGACGUCAAGUCAUCAUGGCCCUUACGAGUAGGGCUACACACGUGCUACAAUGGCAUAUACAAAGAGAAGCGACCUCGCGAGAGCAAGCGGACCUCAUAAAGUAUGUCGUAGUCCGGAUUGGAGUCUGCAACUCGACUCCAUGAAGUCGGAAUCGCUAGUAAUCGUGGAUCANAAUGCCACGGU